ACUAUAAGGUGACAAUCGGUAAACUUCGGUUUCAAAACACGGCAUUUAAUGAGCAGCCAUAUUUGUUAAAUCAUAACAGACAGAGAGAAAAAAAAAUGACGAUUAUUCGUUAUAUUUGCGUAAAAAAUGAGAAAAUCGCGCACAGAGGACUAAGUUUAUGAUAUAUACAUGCAUUGGUAAAAGAAUUGGAUAAACAUUUUUUUUCACCACUCACUCGUUUCAUAUGACUUU
rnacentral:lncRNA from 1 species